rnacentral:rRNA from 1 species
UACAGAGGUCUCAAGCGUUGUUCGGAAUUAUUGGGCGUAAAGGGCGCGUAGGCGGUGCGGUAAGUCACCUGUGAAACCUCUGGGCUUAACUCAGAGCCUGCAGGCGAAACUGCCGUGCUGGAGUGUGGGAGAGGUGCGUGGAAUUCCCGGUGUAGCGGUGAAAUGCGUAGAUAUCAGGAGGAACACCUGUGGCGAAAGCGGCUCACUGGACCACAACUGACGCUGAGGCGCGAAAGCUAGGGGAGCAAACAGG